rnacentral:rRNA from 1 species
CACGUAGGGCGCGAGCGUUGUCCGGAAUUAUUGGGCGUAAAGCGCUCGUAGGCGGCCUGUUGCGUCCGCUGUGAAAGCCCGGGGCUUAACCCCGGGCGUGCAGUGGAUACGGGCAGGCUGGAGGCAGGCAGGGGAGAAUGGAAUUCCCGGUGUAGCGGUGAAAUGCGCAGAUAUCGGGAGGAACACCGGUGGCGAAGGCGGUUCUCUGGGCCUGUUCUGACGCUGAGGAGCGAAAGCGUGGGGAGCGAACAGG